UCAGGCCUAACACAUGCAAGUCGCGCGGACGGUAGCAAUACCGUUAGCGGCGGACGGGUGAGGAAUACAUAGGAAUUUGCCUUUAGGUGGGGGAUAGCCCAGGGAAACUUGGAGUAAUACCGCAUGAUGUCGCAAGACCAAAGCAGGGGAUCGAAAGACCUUGCGCCUUUAGAGGAGCCUAUGUCUGAUUAGCUAGUUGGUAGGGUAAUGGCCUACCAAGGCGACGAUCAGUAACUGGUCUGAGAGGACGAUCAGUCACACUGGAACUGAGACACGGUCCAGACUCCUACGGGAGGCAGCAGUGGGGAAUAUUGGACAAUGGGCGCAAGCCUGAUCCAGCAAUGCCGCGUGUGUGAAGAAGGCCUUCGGGUUGUAAAGCACAGAAGCAGGGAAGAAAAAACUUUCCUAAUACGGAAGUCUGAC
rnacentral:rRNA from 1 species